CCAGCGGAUGCCAACGGAACUACCGUGUCGCGGGUUCGAUUCCCGCCGGCCGCCCGGCCGUAGCUCAGGGGUAGAGCAGCCGUUCCGUCUUUAUUGCCGCUUGAUG
rnacentral:Y_RNA from 1 species